rnacentral:rRNA from 1 species
UACGGAGGGUGCAAGCGUUGUUCGGAAUCAUUGGGCGUAAAGCGCGCGUAGGCGGCCCUGUAAGUCCGUUGUGAAAGUCAAAGGCUCAACCUUUGAAAGCCGAUGGAUACUGCAGGGCUAGAGUUCGGAAGAGGCGAGUGGAAUUCCUGGUGUAGCGGUGGAAUGCGCAGAUAUCAGGAGGAACACCAAUAGCGAAGGCAGCUCGCUGGGACGAUACUGACGCUAAGGCGCGAAAGCGUGGGGAGCGAACAGG